rnacentral:rRNA from 1 species
UACAGGGGGGGCAAGCGUUGUUCGGAAUUACUGGGCGUAAAGGGCUCGUAGGCGGCCAACUAAGUCACACGUGAAAUCCCCAGGCUUAACCUGGGAACUGCGUGUGAUACUGGAUGGCUUGAAUUCGGGAGAGGGAUGCAGAAUUCCAGGUGUAGCGGUGAAAUGCGUAGAUAUCGGGAGGAACAUCAGUGGCGAAGGCGGCCCUCUGGUCCAGUACUGACACUCAAGUGCGAAAGCGUGGGGAGCAAACAGG